UGGGGAAUAUUGGACAAUGGGCGCAAGCCUGAUCCAGCAAUGCCGCGUGUGUGAAGAAGGCCUUCGGGUUGUAAAGCACUUUUAUCAGGAGCGAAACGCUGUCGGCUAAUACCCGGCGGAACUGACGGUACCUGAGGAAUAAGCACCGGCUAACUUCGUGCCAGCAGCCGCGGUAAUACGAAGGGUGCAAGCGUUAAUCGGAAUUACUGGGCGUAAAGCGUGCGUAGGCGGUUUCUUAAGUCUGCUGUGAAAUCCCCGGGCUCAACCUGGGAAUGGCAGUGGAUACUGGGAGGCUAGAGUGUGUCAGAGGGUGGUGGAAUUCCCGGUGUAGCGGUGAAAUGCGUAGAGAUCGGGAGGAACAUCAGUGGCGAAGGCGGCCACCUGGGACAACACUGACGCUGAGGCACGAAAGCGUGGGGAGCAAACAGGAUUAGAUACCCUGGUAGUCCACGCCCUAAACGAUGCGAACUGGAUGUUGGUCUCAACUCGGAGAUCAGUGUCGAAGCUAACGCGUUAAGUUCGCCGCCUGGGGGAGUAUGGUCGCAAGACUGAAACUCAAAUGAAUUGACGGGGUCAUAGCUGUUUCCUG
rnacentral:rRNA from 1 species